rnacentral:rRNA from 1 species
GACGAACGCUGGCGGCGUGCUUAACACAUGCAAGUCGAACGGAAAGGCCCUGCUUUUGUGGGGUGCUCGAGUGGCGAACGGGUGAGUAACACGUGAGUAACCUGCCCUUGACUUUGGGAUAACUUCAGGAAACUGGGGCUAAUACCGGAUAGGAGCUCCUGCUGCAUGGUGGGGGUUGGAAAGUUUCGGCGGUUGGGGAUGGACUCGCGGCUUAUCAGCUUGUUGGUGGGGUAGUGGCUUACCAAGGCUUUGACGGGUAGCCGGCCUGGGAGGGUGACCGGCCACAUUGGGACUGAGAUACGGCCCAGACUCGUACGGGAGGCAGCAGUGGGGAGUAUUGCACAAUGGGCGGAAGCCUGAUGCAGCAACGCCGCGUGCGGGAUGACGGCCUUCGGGUUGUAAACCGCUUUCGCCUGUGACGAAGCGUGAGUGACGGUAAUGGGUAAAGAAGCACCGGCUAACUACGUG